rnacentral:tRNA from 1 species
GCUUCAUGGCUUAGUUGGUUAAGCAUCUGACUUCGGCUCAGAGCAUGAUCUCGCAGUUUGUGGGUUCGAGCCCCACAUCAGGCU